rnacentral:lncRNA from 1 species
GACUCUGCGAUUUCCAGUUUCUACAAUGAAAUAGCUCGACUAAUCAUCUGUUUAUAGAAUUGAUGUUCGAAAUCGUGAUUUCUGAGUAAACUUCACUGGAGCAGAAAAUCUUGGAGGGAACAUCAAUAUUAAUUUAAUGACAUUCCAUAAGAAUAAAAAUCCAAUAGGACCAAGAUUUUAGCAGUUCACACCCGGUCAGAGGGACAAAAUUGAGAACCAUGCAGAUCAGCAAGUGUGGGUUACACUCUAAUGAGGAACAGGAUAUCUGAAUUGGAAAAUUUCAAGGUUUCCCACUGCCCAAGCUGUUUAAGUACUGGUAUCACAGCAAGUACCAAGACGGGAGAUAUAUGAAGGCCAAGCUAAUAAGUAGUUACUUCAAAUUAAUUUGAAUAGAUAUAUCAACAAAGCAGUGAAUGUUCUUUAAACUGCACAUCUGUAGAAAAGAGUUCAGGUUCAUCAGCGGGCAAUGACAUUAAAGUAUACAAAAUUUCACACAAAAUACAAGAAAGAAAUAUUUUUUUUCCAAUGGGCAAAUGUAUCACCUUUUAUUAAUAUUUGAUAUUUCUACUAGUUCUUAGAAGUUUUUGUGAAAUUAAAUAUAAUUUCCAGUUUAAAGGACUAUUGUAUACAAGACAAAAAUCUAUGUUUUGAAAUAAAAAUCAUGCGUAGAUAAAUGUUAAUAAAGGUGAUCAGAGGAUUAAGAAAUAAUUUUAGUAUCACUCCUGGACCUCAUUCCAUAAACAAGUUAUUACUAUUGUAAUCUUGUCACUAUGACAAUUACCAUGGUAACAGGGCUGAGCAAGAAAUCAAGGUCUUUAUGGUAGCUGCAAUGGGCUUGGACAAAGUUACCAUAAUUGCAAGUCGUCAUCAUAAUGGCUCAAUAAUUAUAGGGAUAUUAAAUUGCAUUUAUUGUUAUCUUACUCAAAGUUUUGAAAUGGGUUUCCUCUGCAAAUAUAAAUAGACUAUAUUUUUAAAAAUAGAUUGAAUUCUACCCACAGUGACAGUAGACAAUAUCAAAAUUUGUUAGUAAUUCACUGACUUGGAAAGGCACUGUUUAGGGAGAUUCUUGAAUUAUGCCCCCCCCCUUUUAUGUGGAGUGCUCUCACAU